AUCAGGUUCAACACCCUACUGUCAUGCAAAAGGUUGCUGGCCAGCUCUUUCAGCAAUCCAUUCAGAGUUAUGAUACUGGCUUCCAGAGACAAGGGAUGUACCAGAGACGUCCUGCAUAUGGGAAUUACUCCAACGCUGCAUUGCAGUACCCUGUGAUGCCAGCUUGCAGGGCUACCGCUGAUCUAUCAAUGAUCCCAUCAACUGCAUCUCCAGUUUUUGUGCAAGCCCCCGCAGAGAAAAGCCACUUUGUCAUUGAUUUCCUUAUGGGAGGUGUGUCUGCUGCUGUCUCUAAGACUGCUGCUGCUCCCAUUGAGCGUGUGAAGCUUUUGAUUCAGAACCAGGAUGAAAUGAUCAAGGCCGGUCGUUUGUCUGAACCCUACAAGGGCAUUGGUGAGUGCUUCUCCCGAACAAUCAAGGAAGAAGGAUUUGGUUCGUUGUGGAGAGGAAACACUGCCAACGUCAUCCGUUACUUCCCCACCCAGGUUUGUGAUGUUUCACUCUUUUUUCUUCUUCUAUCUGGUUUGUAUUAUAUGUUGAAGAUAUGCUAAAAUUGCUUCCUGUAAUUCAUGGCAGGCCUUGAAUUUUGCAUUCAAGGAUUACUUCAAGAGGUUAUUCAAUUUCAAGAAAGACAGGGAUGGUUAUUGGAAGUGGUUUGCUGGUAACUUGGCCUCAGGAGGUGCAGCUGGUGCUUCUUCUCUUUUCUUUGUCUACUCUUUGGACUAUGCUCGUACUCGUUUGGCUAAUGAUUCUAAGGCUGCAAAGAAGGGAGGAGAAAGACAAUUCAAUGGUCUGGUUGAUGUCUACAAGAAGACAUUGAAAUCUGAUGGUAUUGCUGGUCUAUACCGUGGAUUCAACAUAUCUUGUGUCGGUAUCAUUGUUUACCGUGGUCUGUACUUUGGACUGUACGAUUCACUCAAGCCUGUGGUUCUAACUGGAGGUUUGCAGGUUAGUGCCUCAUGAUUUUUUUUUGUUUUGAUUUUUGCUUAAUCAAUAUGGUCUUUAUAGUUUGCUACUUUCUGUUAAAUUCAAUUUCUUGUGGAAGUAUUGGUCAAUAUUAAAUGAGAAAUUGAUUAAUUUGGCUAUAGUAGUAAUUAAUUUGAUGUCAUUUGUAAGUUAUGUUCUUGCACUAUUUUUUCUAUGAUGGUUUUUUUCUUAGGUUAUGCAAAUUCUUCAACGUGUUGACUGAAGUUGUAUUUACUUUUGCUAGACCUGCCCAAUGUCUUGUAGGUGUUUCAUACCAGUGUAUCCGAAUACCUUGCUGACAUCUAUUUUUUUUUUUUGAAAACUACAGGAUAGUUUCUUUGCUAGCUUUGCUCUUGGAUGGGUCAUCACAAAUGGUGCUGGUCUUGCAUCCUACCCAAUUGACACUGUCCGGAGAAGAAUGAUGAUGACCUCUGGUGAGGCCGUCAAGUACAAGAGUUCAUUUGAUGCCUUCACUCAGAUCUUGAAGAACGAGGGUGCCAAAUCCCUGUUCAAGGGUGCUGGUGCAAACAUCCUUCGUGCCAUUGCCGGUGCUGGUGUCCUUUCUGGUUAUGACAAGUUGCAGCUGAUUGUGUUCGGAAAGAAGUAUGGGUCUGGAUCUGGUUAAGAAUGUCUUGUCUACCAAGCCAGAUAGCUUUUAGAUGGUGAUGAAAAUCUUUUUUUGAGUCUGAAGAACUUAAUUCGGCAAAAUUUUCCUUGAAUAAUUCAGUUAUAGGGGAGUUGAUCCCAAACAGAUUUUAACAAUGGGAUUGAUUUUUGUUCGCAUAAGCCAGAUUUUUACUGUGAGUGGUGUAAAUGCCACACUUAUUUGGAAUUUUAUUCAGAUUAUAUGCAUUUGUUUUUUUUUGUGUGUUAGCAAUUGUUUCGGUUCAUUUUCAUUUUAUGAUUCUGUUGUCAAUUGUUUUAGUUUAUUCUUUUCAUUUUACGAUUCUAAAGUUUUUGUUUUCCGGAACAUCUUAGGAAGUAAAGCAUUUUAAUUUCAGGAGCCAACUGUACUUCUGGUCAGUCUCUCUAGAAGAGUUGCUUUGCAUAGGAUAGGUGUGAUCUGUGCGAUCUGAGAAUGAACCCAAUUGGACGAUGAAGGUUUGAACCUCGCAUUCAUUCUGAAAACACAUUCAGACUUUGAGAUCAGCUCAACUUCGACAUCAUUACCACUCACCAACGAAGCUCCGGUUGAGGAACCUACUUAAUUAAGGAUCUAGGGAGGAACGUAUUACCGAGUGUGGUUGAUGAUUGACUCAUUGGAUACAAAUUUGUGGAUUUACAUGUGGAUAUGGCAGUCUUAUUUCUUUUAUUAGCUUGGGACAGACUACAUGCUGCCACACUAUUGGGAACAUCUAAAGUUGGGUUCUUUGUUAUAAUAAUUGUAAUAUGGUAACUGACCUGAUGUGAAACGAGUAUGUGAUUAUAUAAGAAAUCACACAAGGAUCAGAUGAAGUGAGAUCCUGUGAUAGAGAAAUUAAUGGUAGACAACAGCUCAUUUCGCUACUCUAUUAGCCAAGUCCGUUUUGUCUUGCUUUGGUUCUCAUGGUUUCGAAGACGAGACGAUCCACUGCUCUCCGAAUCUGGUCUGAUGUUUGUUUAUUCAAACUUCUGCGACUUUUCUCUGCGGUGGCGCUGUCACCCAAAUUGGAUUGGCUUCCUUGGUUUGACCAUGGAAAAGUCCUCCCUUUCAACCCUUAAAGACUCGUCAGCUCUUCGUCUUUGAGCAUUUCUGCCAAGGCCGAAGCCCCUCGCAGCCAUCAUUCGCUCUUCAUUUUCUUCACAGGUAUACGGAUUUCCUUCCCUUGCAACCCUUAGUUAUGAUGGAACUUCAAUUAUAAUCAGUUGAUAAUAUUUCCUGGUUUUUUCUUGUAGGAGAAGACGCAAUGGUUGAUCAGGUUCAACACCCCACUGUCAUGCAAAAGGUAGCUGGCCAGCUCCUUCAGCAAUCCAUUCAGGGUUACGAUACUGGCUUCCAAAGACAAGGGAUGUACCAGAGACGUCCUGCGUAUGGAAAUUACUCCAACGCUGCAUCGCAGUACCCUGUGAUGACAGCUUGCAGGGCUACCGCUGAUCUAUCAAUGAUCCCAUCAACUGCAUCUCCAGUUUUUGUGCAAGCCCCCGCAGAGAAAGGCCACUUUUUCGUUGAUUUCCUUAUGGGUGGUGUUUC
rnacentral:lncRNA from 1 species